CAGUAAUGUAGUGAUUGGUUCCGUAUUUUUAUAUUAAGGAGAAAAAGAUUCUCUUCGUGGGUGAGGAAAAGCAAUUGAGAAAAAAGCUGUUCUGGUAUUCAGUAAAAUAGGAGUGUGUGUGUGUGUGUGUGUGUGUGUGUGUGUGUGUGUGAGUGUGUGUGUGUGUGUAUGGAGAGAGAGAGACACACACACACACUCUUGUUUAUAUCUGCACAGAACUCAGCAUCAUGGUAAUGGAGAAACAAUGUAAACAUUCCUUCUAAAAGCAAGGACAAAAUGAGCACCGUCCACCCUAUUAUUUAAUACUAUUUUGGCAGUACGAACCAGCACAAUUAGACAAUAGAAUAAAAUUAGAAAGAUAAACACUGAAAAGGAGGAGGUAAAAUUUUCACUACUUUAGACUUUAUGAUCGUACAACUUGAAAACCCAAGAGAAUCAGCCCCCAAACUCAGCAAACAAGAGAAGAAUCUUUACUGAAGACAAUUGAUCGUAAAGAUUUGUAGAAAUCAGUAGCUUUCAUAUAAA